AUGGUUUAUUUGGUUGGCGGGCUCCAUGUUUGUGCAUCGAACCGUUGACUGAUAAGCCUCUUCAAUGUUGCGCCAAGAGCUAUUUUGAGCCUUGGGUGAGUAUCGGUUUUCUGUGUUGCAUUCCAAUUGAAGGUAUACUGUCCGAUAACUUGUUGCCUUUCGCCUAGCACUCUUAUGGGUGUUUGGUGGACCAAUGUAGCUAGAUUCGUCCCCCUAACACAACGUCGUUGUUGUUAUGGAGUACGAUGUCUAGUUGUGCCCCGGGAUGCGGAAAGUUUUGUGGGGAUGGAUGUGUUUCUACACGAUGUGUCCCUAAUUAAGCAUUUUAUGCUUAGCAUGAACGACAGUCGGUUACGAGUUGGACUUCCUUAAGGGAAGGCCCAUGCGUACUGGUGUCGAUCGAGGAGUGCUACCUGGUUGAUCCUGCCAGUAGUCAUAUGCUUGUCUCAAAGAUUAAGCCAUGCAUGUGUAAGUA
rnacentral:misc_RNA from 1 species